rnacentral:lncRNA from 1 species
UCCGAUACAGGUAUUUUGCUAAGUUGAAUAAAACGUGUCAUGUCACCUCUUCAAGUCUCAGUCUGUUGCAUGCUCCAGUGUUGUGUCUCCAUUUGAAGCACAUUGUCAAUUGGGACACCCUUCUCUACAUUAGAUUAAGAAGUUAUGCCCUCAAUUUCAGAAUAUUUCUUCAUUGGAAUGUGAGUCAUGUCGAUUUGCAAAACUCUAUCACAUUUCGUCUGGUCCAAGGGUUAAUAAACGAGUUUACUCAGUUUUUGAGCUAGUUUUUUCUAAUGUUUGGGACCAUGUCCUAUUGUUUCUGAAAUUGAGCAUAAAUAUUUUCACUUUUAUAGAUGAUUUUUUCGAUAACUUAGAUUUACUUUAUAAUAGUCAAUCUGAAGUGUUCACUUACUUUCUUUUUUUUUAUGACAAGGGAAACCCACAGUCGCUACCCUUUGGGUGCGCACAGAGUAAAACCCUCGCUCCUAUGCAAUAGCUCGUAAACCACAUAAGAGAGGUAACCUACACUAGGCAAGCCCGGUGCGACGAGCUCGACCCAGAAGGCAAACCCCUUGCUUUCGCUGGCAAGGGGUUUCAAACUUGAGACCUCCAACAUGGAAGUCCUAAGCCCAAACCACUAGGCCACCCUGAAGGGUAACCAACCUGAAGUGUUUACUUACUUUUCAUCAUUUUGUGCUUAAGUCAAAACUCAAUUUAAUCACGCGUACUUGUUGCAUAAUCUAAGGAGUGAUAAUGCAAAAGAAUAUAUGUCAAAAUUAUUUUGAUCCUACAUGAGACAACAUGGUAUUCUCCAUCAGUCUUCAUGUGUGGAUACACCCUCUCAAAAUGGAGUUCUUGAAAGGAAGAAUAAGCAUUUACUAGAGAACUCGGACACUUUUGUUCCUAUUGAAAGUCCCUAAACAAUUUUGGCAGAUUCCAAUCUCUACAACUUAUAUUUUGAUUAAUCGCAUGCCCUCUGGCGUGCUUCCUGAUGAUGCCCCUUACAAUGUUCUCUUUCCAAACAAGUUACUAUUUUCGAUGGAGCCUAGGGUGUUUAGAAGCACUUGUUAUAUUCGAGAUGUUCGACCAUUUGUUACCAAGUUGGAGCCCAAGGCAUUGAAGUGUGUUUUCUUGGGCUACUCUUGUCUUCAGAAGAUAUAUCGAUGUUAUUCUACUGAAUUUUGGCAAAUAUCUAGUGUCAACUGAUGUAGUAUUUUUAGAGACUACACCAUUCUUCUAUACACCUCCUAUUUCUACAAUUCAGGGAGAGGAAGACGAGUGGUUAGUCUAUCAGGCUACUCACUCAUACAGAAAAAAAGGUUCUCUAUUGAUUCAAAGCAAUCAAAGGACGUUGUUCCUCUAUCUCUUAGUUCUUCUAUUGAGCAUUCCACAUUUGCUCCAUCUUUGUCAGCACGAUGGCCAAUUGUUCAAGUUUACUGAAGAAGUCGAGAAAUCGAUUAUACAUCUCCUACAUCAAUUCCUUCAUCAUCGGAUCCUCCUCCACCAUUACUCUUCGAAAAAGUACACAUCAGUGCAAAUCUACAUAUUCCAUUGUUAAUUUUGUUUCUUAUGACCACUUAUCUUAUGCAUCUAGUUGCUUGAUUUCCUUUAUAGACCUAUCUCAGUACCCAAACAGUGAAGGAAAUCUUGAAUAAUCCUGAAUGACAUGAUGCAAUGCUUGAGGAGAUACAUGCUUUAAAUGAGAAUCACUCAUAGGAUUAGGUGGAUUUACCCAAAGGAAAGAAGACGAUAGGAUGCAAGUGGGUUUUUGCAGUCAGUUAGUCUUGAUAGCUCUAUCGCAAGACUUAAGGCGAGACUUGUGGCUAAAGUCUAUACUCAGACUUAAGGGGUGGAUUAUUUCUCCUCAAUAGCCAAGCUCACCUCUGACCGCUUGUUUAUUUCCUUGGCUACUACUUAGCAUUAUCCCUAACAUCAGUUAAAUAUCAAGAAUGUGUUCCAUCAUGGUGAUCUCUUUGAAGAGGUGCAUAUGAAGCAAACACCUGGUUUUGUUGCUAAGGGGAGUAUGAAAAAGUUUGUUAUCACAAAAAAUCUCGACAUGGUCUAAAGCAGAGUCCUCGGGCUUGGUGUGACAAUCAGGUUGCUCUACACAAUGCCUUAAAUCCAAUGCAUCAUGAGAAAACAAAACAUAUUGAGGUCGAUUAUCACUUUGUCCGUGAGAAGAUUCAAGAGAAUAUGAUUUCUAAUGGCUAUGUGAAGAUAGGAGAGCAAUUGGGUGAUAUUUUCACGAAGGCUUUAAAUGGAACCGGGUGGAAUAUCUUUGUAACAAGUUGGGCAUGAUUAAUAUUUAUGCUCCAACUUGAGGGGGAGUGUUACAUAAUGUAUAUAUGUACAUCUUAAUAUAAUAUACAUACCACGAUCAUAGGUAGAGAUAUUUACGGAUUUUAUGAUUUUAUUUCCUUAGAUAGAUUUGUACUUGUAAAUUUGCAAAUAGCUCACCCUAGGAAAAUACAAGGAGAUUUUCUCCCUUAUCUCUUUAUCUUACAAAUAUCUUUAUUUUAUUAAUUCAAAAUGAUAGAUCAAAUAAAAUAUAUAAAAAGCUUUAAGCAAAUAAAAAAUAAGAAAUUUACAAAAGGAUAUAUAUACACACACUAAACAGGCACCCAAGGGUGUGGCCUAGUGGUCAAUGAAGUGGUUGAGAACCCUGAGGUCUCAAGUUUAGAACUCAGUGGAGACAAAAAAACACUAGGUGAUUCUUUCCAUUUGUUCUAGUCUUGAUGGACAGAGUUACCUGAUACAUGUUGCUGGUAGGAUGGCCCGGACACCACGGUCGUCCAAAAUAUAUAUAUAUUAGGCUGGUACAUGUUGCUAGUAGGAUGGCCUUGACACCACGGUCAUCCAAAAUAUAUAUGCAGGCGUUCAGUUUUUUCCUUUAACCAUCAUUUUGUAAGUACAUCAAAGGUCAAAAUAUAUAUAAAGAGAUGUAAGUAGAUAGUUCUUUUACACCAGCUUAUCCAAAAAGGUUUUUAAUGGGCAGCCUAAAUAACAAAGAGAAUUUCUCUGAAUAAUAAUCUGGAAGAACCCGUUUAUCACUUUGUGCAUCAAGCUAUUAUUUUUCUCCUUCAAAGUCUGUAACAUCUCAAAUAUAUUCUGUCAUUUUUAUUUAUGAUUAGUUGGUGCAUCUCUUUUACUCACUCUUCAACCAGUCAAAAAUUUAGAAAUGAGAUGUUGUUCAUCUGUAUUAUAUGUCUUACUUUUAGUCCCUCUCUUUCAGUCCUAUCUUGACAAUAUGGAUAAAGGGUCCAGCUGCUAAUGAUAUUAGCGUAUAUUCACUUCAAAAAAUUUGGCAACAGAAUUUACCGUUUGGCACAAGCGCAACUUAGGCUUGUUCAAAGUUGGUUUGAAGGAGAGCUUGAAGUGAUAGAAAAGUUGGCAAAGUGGAGGCCUCUGCUAUUGAAAUUGACGAUUUUUUGCUUGCCAUAAACACUUCUAAAUCCUGAAGCUGAAGAGAAACCUACAUUAAAGAGUAAAAUAUCAGAAUCACCAGUCUAGGAUUCAGAAAGAACAUUUGAAGGAGCUAAUUUCAGGUCCCUGAAUUCUUUUCAGGUAAAGGGUAAAAAAAUGCCUAGACUAUGCCAAAUGGAAUAAUUCCGCUCUCCCAUAAAAAAGUGUCUCGUUCCUACCCGUGUGUUACCAAAGUGCCUCAAUUUUUGCCUUUAUGGGUUAAUGGCAGCAGCUAAACGACAAAUUUAUACCAUUCACAAAGUCCAAGAUCAUAUUCAACCUUUUCCGUUGAGCCCCUUUAACAGGAGAAUCCAUUUCUGGCAUUUAUCCCAAAAACACAAUAACAUUUGUUGAUCGCUUUUUAAGUUAUUUGUAGUAUAGAUUCACAUAAUCAAGUAGAAUAGAACCAUAUAAAGAAAAACAGAAAGCCCCAUAAGAAAAGCUUUAAAGAAGAUAACGACUUAUAAGAAAUAUCAGCAGAAGUAAGUCUCACCUUUGAAGAGAGUAUUAUGCAACGCCAAUAUCAGGAACUGAAGCAACAACAACAGAGAAAAUUAAACAGAGUAAAUCAAAGUGAGGAAGAGGAUUGAAAAUACAGUGUAAUGACAAAUCAAGUGUUGAUUGCCAAGUUUUACAAUGACCUAUGUCAUUCCGUAAAGAUAUAUACAUACGGACAUGACACUGUAUCACAACUAUAGGCCAAAAUAUGCCAAAAUUUGGUGUACAACUCAGAUAACAUUGCGUGUAAAAACUUGUUAAUGCAGUGUUCUUACUCCUUAGCGGCUUAUAUCAAUACUAGACGGGGACCCAACAUGCUUCGUUUAAUGUAACGAUUUUCAUUGUAAUAAUACAACUUAAGCAGUUAAGUACACUUAGCCGCCAAAUGCCUCUAUAUUAACAUAGGCAGAACAUGGCAUAUUCAUGUACAUAUUCAAAAUAGAUAAACUCCUUUAUACCGUUAAAUGAUAUUGACGACCAAAUAGUGGUCAAACAAACUGUAAAACCCAAAAACUAAUUCAUAUUGAUGUUUAAAUAGAUACAAUAACCAACCAUCCACUGUACCAGACCUAUUAAUCCGAAUAGGGAUUAAUGAUCUGCACCCCUAACAGUCAGCAGAGGCUUCCAAUCUAUUGGUAUGAUACUGAAGAAGUGUUUAUUUUUAAAAAGAGGGGGAAAAAUUGGGAGUAGGAGAAGUGGAAAUGGGAGAGAGGAUAGCAAGAUGUGGAAUCAAACCCUCACCAACAACGUGAAAGUUCAAGUAACCAACCUACUAACUGAACUAAUAAGGUUGUUCAAUUUGCCAGACAACAUUAUCCUUGCCCUGGCUGUCAUUUUUUCUCUUUAUUUGAACUAGGCUCUGCUUGUAAUUGAAAACCCAAAAGCGACCCAUGAUUAGGUCCAGCUGAAAGCCAAGAUCUAUAACUUGUCUUGUUGUGGGGUCAUAUAAUACCAACUGUGAGGUUUCUGUGAUUUCGAAAAUCAUCUUAUCCUCCUCCCAGAUGCUGCGAGGCCAAUGAGCAACUAUUUGAGGUUGAACACUAAGAACUUUGGUCCAACUACCCUCUAGGUACAUCACCCACACAUCAUAUAUGGAUGUCAUUGGUUUACCAGGAUCACCAACUAAGAUAGCAAGCGAGUCACCACGCAACAUAAGCUUUCCCCACUGUGCCUUUGGAAUAUCCGGGCCUUGCAUCUCCCCAAAUUGUUCGCUGCCCAUAUCAAACGAGCAUAUGCGGAAGAUAUUGUCUAGACGCCAAGAGAGCCAAUAAUAUACCCCGUUGAGAUGUGUAGCACCAAUGGGCUCGUGUAAGUUACAACAGUCAGGGAAAUCAGGUCUCAGGUUCUUCCAUGAGUUGUUGCGUAUGGAAUAGACACUGACAAAGCAAUUACAGGAAACGCCCAGUCCCCAGUCAUCCCAAAAUUUUCUAAUACAUAGAACCUUAUAAUCUCGAGUCAAUGGGUCAAACCCCAAUGCAAACUGAUCAUCAUGAUCUUUGAAUGGCUGAGGCUCAAAGGACACAGGAGGCAGAGGCCAGAACUCCCUGGUGGCAGGAUUCCACAAAGCCAAGCGAGCAUUGUCUUCAUCCAAAAACGCUGCUUUUUCCACCAAGAAUAGGCCAUCAACUGGGCCAACAAUGGACAUGAAAUCAGAGACCCUCCAAAGCUGAUGGACAGUUUUUUGUUCAGGGGAAACACCUUGAACUAUUUUGGCAGGGAGCAAGGAAAAAGCAAUGGACUUUGAUUUAUCCAGAAGUGUUAAGUUACAAAUGAGUAGAUGGGCAUGAUUAUGCUUGUGACGAAAAUGCAUUUCUACAAAACUUGGACUUGUGAUGAGAGCAUACCAAUGUUUGCACACACAUUUGAAACGCACAAGUGAUUCCACAGGCAACCUUAAUAAAACAUCCACUAAUAAAUCUUUUGGUAAAUGACGUCUACCAGCCAUAAUGGUGUUCCCAAUUUAAUCUUCUGUGAAACAAAAUGUCAAGAAAAAUUGAGUAGUACUAUUAUGAUGUGAUCAAAGUAUCAACUAAAAAGACAAAAACAAAUAGAAAAAUGAAAUUCAUAAAAGGCAACAAUUCUCCCACAGUGUCAUUAAGAAACAAAAUUUUGAAAAGUGCUCUUAAAAGAUUUGUAGUCUUCCCAUUUCAUCUGCUUUUCAUUAGGCAACCAAAUGAUCCCUCUAAAUCACAACUUAGCAUAUAUAGCAAUUCUACAAGUAAAUACACAACAAUUUCGACUAACUUGGAAAUGGUUUAACUUAACACAACUUUCAAAUAAUCCUAGCAAAUGAAAAAUGCAAAGAAUGGUCAAAACAUCAUUAUUAGUACAAAUUUGGGCACAAAGUAUAAAUUUUAUGGGUAAAAAUUCACCAAAGUUGCAAUAAAUAGUAUAUGAACUCGUAACUUUAAAAAUAUAAAUAAGCUUGGGUUUGAUUUGGUUAGACAAUAUGUGGUUGGUAAAUAAGGAUCAAUAUGAAGUCAUGAUUUUAAAUGCAAUUUGAGAUCCCAAAUUCUCCAACAACAAAGAAAAAAACAUGAUUUUUUCGUAUUUAUGAGAUAAAAAAUAGUAACUAAAACAAUCCGAAUAACAAAACUUCAACUUCAGAUCAUUAUUUCAUAUCACAUGUCCAUACGGUCCUAAGUUCAAUGCUAAGAAGUAUAAAAGUUGAACCCAUAGAGUUUGAAUCCCAAAGUGAAUUGGGAUACAAAAACCAUAAUAGAAACAGAACAACAAAACCCUAUAUUAUCACCAAAAUAGAGAAAAAUGAAGAGAAAUUAAAAAGCUAACCUUGUAAGCUGAGGAAGAAGAAUGAGAAAUGAGAGUAGUGAAGAAGAGUCAAAAACGUUGUCAAUUUAUUGUACUAGGAUAACCUCUGGGUUGGCAGUCGGCAGAUAGCAUCUCCUUUUUCUCUUUCUUUUUUCUUUUUAUGUUUUAUGGUAGAGAAAAUGACAUAAACAGUCGCUUAACUAUAAGAGUAAGUCUAAAGUGGUUCUUUAACUAUACAAUUAAUGGAUUUAGUUCUUUAAGUGUAUAGUUAAGGAACCAUUUUAGACCUAUUUCUAUAGUUAAGGGACUGUUUAUGUCAUUUUCUCUUUUAUGGUACCUACCUACUUUUAUUUAUAUUCUUUUCUCUUUUUUUGGAGACUAAGAUUUUUAUAUUUUAUUUGUUUUGAUUUUUCAAAUGGUGUUUGAUAUUUGUAUUGGAGUCCAUUUAUUUUGGAUUCGCAUUGGGUAGGACCCAUUUGAUAAGAAUCUUUUAAUACUCGUAACUUGAAUUUGAGACCUCUAAAUUAAGAGAGGACCAGACUCAUCUACUGCACUAUAUACUAUAUAAUACUCCCUCUGUUCCUAAUUACUUGUCCACUUUUCCUUUUAUAGGUUGUCCAUUUUGAUAAAUCAAGAGAGGACAAAAUAAUUUAAUAAUUUUACAUAUUAUACCCUUAAUUAAUCACUUUUGAAAAAGGUACAAUUGCUUGAAAAUCUUAAAUUUUUAAUCCAUUCACUUCAUAAUUAAUAGGGGUGAAAUGGUAAACUCACUAUGUCAAUAAUUGCUUUCUUUUUUUUUUCUUUUUCUUUUUUUAAAGUAACUCCAUUGAUCAUUGAUGUGCAAAACUUACAAUUUGAGUUUGGCAUACCAAACUUUGUACAUGAUCAUUGAGGGGAGUUCACUAAGCUAUACUUAGUCAAAAACCUAUGGGGGAUCGUAGAUGAUAUGGGAUGGUUUGUUCAUUUUGAUCCUGAAAGAGUGAAUAUCCCCAUUUGUCCAUAUUGACUAGCCCCUUUACUUGAUUGGGAAGCUCAGUAUGAGAGUAGAAGACAUGGAUUGACUCAAAAUUAUGGCUCAUGCUUGCCAAUUUAUCAGCUGGUCUAUUGGCUUCUCGAAAACAAUGCUUGAUUUCAAAUCCAUUCUUUUCAACUAACUCUUGGAUUUCAUUGAUGAUGUGUAGAAUCCUCCAAGGCACUUUCCAUUCCCUUCUGACGCAUUUGGUAAUGAGGAGAGAGUCGGCUUCUCCAAUGAUCACACUAUGUCCAUUAUUUACACACCAUUUUAUGCCAAACAACACUGAAGUUGCUUCUGCCAUGUUAGAUGCUCCUGGUCCCAGAGGUAUUGAGUAAGCACAAAUAAUUCUUCCUUCAUUGUCUCUGACCACUCCCCCUCCUCCACAUAUACCACGUAAACAACUCCCAUCACUAUUUAACUUAACAAUGUGAGGGGGGGAGGCUUGUUCCAUUUGAUAGCUCUGGAAACUCUUUGCUCAAUGUUUGCUUCACAAGCAUUGCAGAUUGCACUCCAUUCCUCUCCUAAGUUGGCUCUUCUAAACUUCAUUUUUAGAACCUGCACAAGAGUAUUUAGAACAUUAGUCUUGGUCCUAUAGAAGGAUACCCUCAAGUUUUCAAACUUUCUACUACAUUUUGCUUUCCAUAUCUCCCACACUAUGAUUAAAGGAAGAAUUUUGGUUAUAUAGGUAGCAAAAAUGUUGUGGGACUUGUAGUUCCACCAAUUAAGUAACAUCAUCUUGUAGCUCCUGCUGGUGUGAUCGAUUCCUAGAGGACCUGCAAAAAAACUCCAAAUUCUUUUAGCGUGGUCACCUUGACAGAAAAGAUGGUUAGUGUCUUCUAUGAUAUGAUCCAUAUUGUUGUUGUUACAAUAAUAGCAGGUACAAUCAACUUGAAUACCAAACCUGGAGACUCUUUCAUUGGUAGAAAGUUUAUAUUUAAUGACUCCCCAGUUGAGGAAGGAGAUUUUGAAAGGAAUAUCCUCAUGCCAAAUGUUUUUUAUAAAAUUGUUACUGUUACUUUUCUGCCUAUAAUUGCUCCAGGAGGAUUUAAUAGUGAAAUUUCCAUUGGUGUUAGGGAUCCAAAUGGCUUUGUCUCUUCUGUUGCUAUGCAACACAUUAUUGAGCUCUCUAAUUUUAUCUUUAAUGUCCGCAUCAGGUUGAUUAUGAAGCUUGUCCCAAACCCACAUUUCAUCAAUGUAGACAUCUUUGAUACUGAUUUGUUGUUGUUGUACAUUAUUAGGAAACAAAAGAUAUAGAGGGCCAACAUUAGUCCAAUUGUCAUACCAAAAGUCCACCUCUCCUCUCCCAAUGAUCCAUAUGAUGUUCUUGUCCACCUCUUCUUUAAUGUUGCAAAGAACUUUCCAACUUUGUGGUUAUCCUCUGCUCCAUUGGGACUUGAUAGGGUGCAUAUUGUUGAAGUACUUAGCUUCCAUGAAAUUCUUCCAUAGUGAAGUAGUGGUUCUGAGGUUCCACCAUUGUUUUGUUUGAAAAGCAUGGCACGUGUCUUCAAGAUUUCUGAAGUUCGCUCCACCCUCCUCAUAAGGGUAGCACAAGUUCUUCCAAGAGGCCCAAUGAUACUUACCUCUAGUGUCUUGCCCUGUCCAAAAAAAUCCAAUAAUGUACUUCUCUAUAAGCUCAAUGGUACCUUUGGGAGAGUUGGUAGCUGCAAAGAGAUGAAUUGGCAUCGCAAGGAGUACAUGUCUAAUCAAAAUAGCUUUUCCACCGGUGGAAAGAAAUUUAGUAUGCCAACCUCUAAUCUUGUUAAUGAUCUUGCUUACCAUAUCUGAGUAGUGAGAGAUCUUUUUUUUACCAGUAAUAAGAAGGCAACCAAGAUAUCUAAUAGGAAAGACCUGAUGUUUCAUACCAGUAAUGAUUUUGAGCCUGUUAAUAGUAGCAACUUUGGUAUUAUUGGCCACUGCAAAACAACUUUUUUCCUUAAUGAGUAGUUGACCAGAAACUUCCUCAUAUAUUUUCAGAGUUUUAAGCAUCAUUUCAAGAGGUUUCUUGCUACCAUUACAAAAAAGAAUAGUAUCAUCUGCAAAGGAUAAGUGAUUUAUCCUUGGGCCAUUAGUGUUCAUAUAGAACCCCUUGUAGCCUUGUUUAUCAUACAAGUUAUUUAGCAUUUUAGAGAGUAAUUCAGCACUGAUGAUAAAUAAGGAUGGGGAUAUUGGAUCUCCUUGUCUCAAGCCUCUACUGGAAUUAAAAAAACCAUGUCUUCUCCCAUUAACAAUAACAGAAUACCAGUUACUGGAUAUGAAAUUGUAGAUCAGAUGAGUCCACCAUUCAGAGAAACCAAAUGUCACGCCCCGAGCCUACACCCUGGGCGGGACCGGCACUCGGAGACCAUUGCUGGCCCCAAGCGAACCCUUGGCCUAGCUUUCUUAACUCGAAACUUGAGACUCUUUACUUGACUUGAAACUCUAUACUCUUUGCUUGACUUGAAACUCUAUACUUAACUUGGAACUUGAGCCUUAGAAUGAAGUUAAAACGUUCAAUGAAGACUCUUGAAAAGCUUUAAAGACUUGCUUUGACUUGCUUAACUCCCUCAUGAUGUUUAGGAAUGAUUUGGGACAGCCAAACUUAAGAAAAUCUCCGAACAUAAUUUCUGAAAACAGUGGAGUCCGCGUCCUGUCCGCGACGCGGAGCAGAUUUUGUUCACAGAGGGAACAAGUCCGCGACGCGGACGUGCUCCUCGCAAACUGCCCGACUUUCUCCUUCACGUCUCCAACUCUAAAUCCUCUAACCUCAAAGGUUCCAGCCCCAAUUCACUUAGAAACAUGAAAUCCCUCAACAUUCAAUAGAUUUCAACUCAAAACCCCAACCGGAAACAAGUCCCAACUCAUCAAGAAUCUCAACAUUACAAUCAACAACUAUACCAACAAUAAUUUCAACAACUAACAACUUUAACAACUCCAACAACUUCAACCACAACAACUAACAACUUUAUCAACAAAGCCAAUCCUUUCUUGAUAAGUAAAAGGGGCUAGGUGUGUGGGGGAAAGGAUCACCCAACACUAAAAGCUCACAUACCUUGAUAGGGAUCACCCCCGACGAAAACCCACGAUGAUCUCCUCUUCUUCUCUUCUUCUCUUCUUCUUCUCUCAAAACCCUCACUCUCACUCCUUUUAAAAUGGUAAAACUGAUCAAAAUGAUCAGCCUAACACAUUUAUAUAACCCAAAAUAAAAGGCUAGGGAAAAGACCAAAAUACCCUUAAUUUUCCGGUCGGAUUCCUUGCCCAACUGCCCAAAUUUCAAUGGCCAUAACUCGCUCAUACGAAUUCGGAAUUGAGCAAACUCGGUGGCGUUGGAAAGAUCGUUCCACGAACUUUGAAACCAUAACUGGAACUCCACCUAAAUCAUCUUGAGCUAAAAUUUAUGGCUGUUCAAAGUUGGCUAAAAAUUCACAUUUUUCCAUACUUAGCCAAAUUUCCAAAACUUUAAAAUUCUUUCCAAAAAUGAAAAUUUCCAAUUCUAAGCCUCUUCAAUUAUUUCACAUUGCCGGAUGUUACACCAAAUCUCUUUAGAGCCUGGCAAAGGAACUCCCAAGAGACUCUAUCAUAAGCCUUGGCCAUAUCUAAUUUUAGCACAACAUUUCCUCCUCUAGCAAGCUUCUUAAUAUCAUUGAUAAUUUUUUGUGCAAGAAGGAUAUUUUCAGAAAUUCCCCUCCCUCUGAUAAAACCAGAUUGGUUCUUGGAUAUGAUUUUGGGGAGUAAGCUGGAGAUUCUGUUAUUGAGAAUUUUAGAAAUGACUUUACUGAAUACAUUGCAAAGGCUAAUAGGUCUCAGGUCAGUAAACUUCUGGGGGUGGUCUAUCUUGGGAAUCAUAACCAAACAAGUAUGAGUGAUAAACUUAGGAAGUUUUGCACCCUGGAAGAAAGACCCAACUGCUUUGUAGAGGUCAUAACUUAUGAUGUUCCAAGCACUUUGAUAAAAAUGUCCACUUAGUCCAUCUGAACCUGGAGCACUAUCUUUAUCAAUGGAAAUUAUGCAAUCUUUAAUCUCCUGCAUAGUGGGGAUAGAUGCUAACAUAGAGUUAUCAUCUUCAGUUAUGCACCUCUCAAUACAAUCUAGAGCUUCAAAAUUGGAAUGAUGAGUGUCUUGAGUAAACAUAUUUUUGAAAUGCCUAACAGCAGCUUCAGCAAUGCUAUUAUUUCCUUCAAUCCAUUGAUCAUGUUCAUCCAUAAUUUUUGAGAUAUUCAAUCUCCUUCUCCUUUCUUUCAUAAUAUUGUGGAAAUAGGUAGUGUUGGCAUCCCCUUCUUCAAACCAUUUAGCUCUGGCAUUCUGUCUCAAGAUACAAUCUUGAAUCUUGAGAUAUCUAACGAAUUCAGCCUUACAUCUAGAGAGCUCACUUCUGUUCUCUGGGGUGUUGUUGUUCACACAAGUAUCCUCAAGAAUUCUGAUAUCUGCUUCUAAUUUUUUUGGAGUUUCAUAAAUAUCCCCAAAAGUUAGUUUAGACCAGAUGCUAAGAUCUUUACUCAUCCUUUUGAUUUUUUGAUGAAGAAUGUACAUAGGAUUUCCAUAGAUAUUUCCUUCCCAACUUUCUUGUACAGUCUUAAGAUAGUCAGGGUGAUCAGUCCAAAAGUUCAGAAAUUUGAAAUAUCUUAUGAAGUGGGUGGUUUCAUUUGUCAUCUUGACUAGAAGGGGAGCAUGGUCAGAGCUGGUUCUAGACAAAUGAGUCACUGAAGUGUUAGAGAUAGAGUCAAACCAGCUAGAGUUAUAGACUUAUCUAUCAAGUCUCUUCCAUAUGGUAGUAGGAGGAUCCCUAUUAUCACACCAAGUGUAUAUAGAACCAUUGUAGCCUGCAUCUUGAAGCCCACAGUCAUUAAGACAUUCUAAAAAAUCAAAGCUUUCUUCCAUUCUGUAGCUUCUACCUCAUUUUUUCUCCUCAAUAGAAGUGAUAACAUUGAAAUCCCCAAUGGCACCCCAGAUUCCUUGGAUAUUGUUAGCCAUUUCUCUCAAAUCAUUCCAUAGUUCUCUUCUUAGGUCUUCGGUGCAUUUAGCAUACACUACAGUCAAGAAUAUGGGCUGAUUGUUAAGAUGGGUGGCUUUGAUCAGAACAUGUUGUUCUUUAUCUUGAAGGAUGGUGAUGUCCACUUCAACUGUCCAAAGAAUCCAGAUCUUAUUAGAGCAAUUGCAGUAACUAUGAUCCAUUCUUAACUUCCUUUUGAAUCUUUCCAUCUUUCUACUGUCCACCAUUGGCUCUUGUAGACAUAUUAAAGGGAUCUGAAACUGUUGCUGAAAUGUUUGGAGUCUUUCUAGAUAGCCUGCUGAUCUUAUCCCUCUUUUAUUCCACGAUAGUGUAUCAAUCAUGAGAUAUAUUCAAGGGUAGAAGUAGUUUGAGUGUUUUUGAGUUCUUCUGUCAUGGUGUGACUUUGAUCAUAAAUCUUGCCAAGAUUCUGAUUGUUCCUGGGAGAUAGGUUGUUGUAAACUCUAAUGUUUUGUUGAACUUGAGAGGUUAAGCUGUUACUAGUUUCUUGAGAUUUUGAUCUGUUAGUUCCUCUAAUGGCCUCAUCAUCUGACAUGGUUUGGCCUUCUUCUCUGGUAUGAGUAAGCUCAAACUCUAUUUCUAUUACUUCCACAUCAUGAUAAACUUCUUCAUAUUCAUCUCUUUCUCUAGGCUCUCUGUGUUAUUUAUCCGUGGGUUCAUGGUUGUUGUUGUAUCCACCUUCUUGUUUCUUAUACAUUCCAUGAUUUUCAGUAUUUACUUCUCUUUUCCCAUUGGCUCCCUAGCUAAUAGUGUCUUCGCGAGUUCCCAUUUUGUUAGUGAGUGAGACCCAUUUUGUAAGCUGAUCUGCCUCUUUUUUCCUAAUAAUUCCAUCAUCAUCUCUGAAUUCACCUUGGAGUGUGACUUCUUUCGGGAUAGAAACUUCUCCAGUGAACUUUUUCCUUUUAUUUUGUAUGUUUUUUAUGUCUUUGGGAUCUUUGAUAACUAAACUCAACAUUUCGCCUUGUAGUUCUGCCUCAGGAUUGGUAAUACUAGCAGCAUUUCCACUUCUUGUACUUCUAACGUUGAGCUUUGGUUGGUGUCUUUUGCUAGCCUUGCCUUCUUUUUCUUUUUGAGCUUUGUCCCACCUUGAGCUUCUCACUUGAUUUUGCUGAUUUGCUGAAGUAUCAUGUUCUUCCAGGUUCACUUGGCUAGGUUCUGCAUCUUCCAUGUCCCCAUUUUCCUUGUCUUGGAGGAUAUUGAAGAAGUUACUGGUUACUUUGGUCGUUUUGUUGUCAAUAGUAAACUUUAUCCCAUUUGGUGUCUCCUUUGAAAUGGUUUCCUUUCCCCUUCGCUUUACCACAUCAUGACAUCCCUCAUCUUUGUUUUUAGUGGGAUUAGAGCUUUCCUCCAUGGGCAUGGUGUUUGAUCCAUUUUGUUGCUCCAUUGAUCCAUGUUUUUGUUGCCAUUGAAGGCUCUGGCUUCCUCUUUUGGCGUGGGUAUCUACAUCCUCUUUUCGUUUUUCCUCUUUGUUAGAUUGUUGUUCUCUAACCUUAGUUGUUCCUGUGUGGACCACCUUACAGUUUUCAGUAGAGUAGAAUGGUUCUGAACUUUGCAGUGGGAGCAAUAGAUUGGCAGUGUUUCAUAUUCAAUUUUUUGCUCAAAAGUCUCUUCUUCACCAGAAAGAUUUCUUACUUCUACUCUCACUGUAUGGAUCAGAGGUUUUGCAAGAUCAAUUUGAACUCUUAACUUUGCUGUGGUUGGUCUUGUUUUCGUAGUCGUCGUUUUAUCCAUGAUCAACGGGACCCCUAUGGGAUCCACAAUUCUACAAAGGGCGUCCCAUUCAUAGUAAUGCCAAGGUAAAUCCGGGAGAUUUAUCCACACAGGUGCUGUUAUGAUCUCGAAUUCAAAUGGAAAAGAAAAUAAUCAACACAAUAGUUUUUGGGAUUUUCUGAUUUAUAACUGGAAAAUUGAAAACAAGGAUAUCUACUAAAUGGAAUUAAAACUACAUUUAACAGAAACUAACUGAAGAACUCGCCAUAGCCAUAAGGACCUGCAGAUUUAGAUGAGAAAAGAAUUUAGAAGGAGAUUGAAAAGAAGAGAAGAGAAGAGAGUCUAUUAGAAGAGAGAGAGAGGAGCACGAGAAUAAUACCAAUUUGAUCAAAUGCCCCUUUUGCUCUUCCAGGAACUUAGUUAUAGGAUGCUCACGUGCAAUCACAGCCCUUCAACUUCAUUAACUCCAAUUAAAUCUCGUACGUCUAGGUGUUAUAAUUCUAUUCGUCAUUUCUUUAUUCUUCACUUAGCUCAUUUAUUCAGGUCAUGACAUUCCCGCCCGGAUCAAACAAUCCUUGACCCCAAGGAUGAUUAUCAAAAAUUUGUCCCGUCCAGGUUCAUUACAAUCCUUCCUGCUUGAAAUCAACAUUGUCCUCAAGGUUGUUGUCCACACCCGCAUAUCAAAAACCAAAAUCAUCAGAUUAUUUCUCGCUAGAAUUCCUAAGGUAAUAUGCCUAUUUGCUGUGAACACUUCUCUCGCAAAAGCUUCAAUUAAAGACUUGGAUUGAUUGACCUUUGCUAUCAUUGUGUCCCUUAUAUCACGAAGCAAAGAUAGGCUAGUACUUUUUCUCAGUAUUGUUUCCAUUUUAGUCUGCAGCUCCGCUAUUCUGUCAAAGAGCUUUUCAGCCUCUGUUGUAGAGAUGUGGAGCUGCUUUUGGAGGUCAACGCUUCCAAGACAACCCAGUGGAAUUUCAGUGCGACAUGGUGCAAAUAAGCCCACAAAUAUUUGACCCUCAGAAUGUACAUGAAUAUGCUUUUUGGAAUUUUCCGCAAAUGGCAAGGAAAACACACAUUUUGCAAUAUUUGAUAGGCAUAAAUGUUCUCAAAGUAUCUCAAAAUCAUUCCAGUGGCACAAAGAAAAAGCAUUAUAAGCUGAUAGUAAAAUUCCUGUUGUAUACUUGGGAAUACCAGAUGUAGAAAUGACCAAGUUGUGCUCAGAGUCACUCAAAGAACAAUGCUUCUUUAAAAAAGAUAUGCCCGGAUCAAAUUGAAAUAGAUGUGAAAAACCUCGAGUUUCAGGUGUUGUAGCAAUCAAGAAAUACAAUUUCUUACCAUGGAAACAACACUCCACUUCCUUAGUGUUAAGAAUAGACCAACAAAAGUUGCCUAGUUGCUGAUGUAAAAGGUGUAGUGCAAGUUUCUCCAUCAACAGAAAAACUAUAUAAGCAAUAUUUGAGCUGACUUCGCUUUCAUACACUCGACUCCAAGAGAGAAUAGGGAAGAAUGAUGUCACAUAUCCUGUGAAGAGCAUGUGUGCUGAUGUAAAAUAUUGAAAUGUUUUAUUUUUAUAGGAUGCAACCCAGCAGCUUCCUUCUCCAGGCCAAUCGACAUACCACCUGGGUCAAAAGUCAAAUACAAACCAUACACCAUUGUUCUUACUGUUGCAGCUCCAUCUCUUAGUUUAGCAGAGUCGUUGGUGUUUGAUAAAAGGAUAUGUAGGCCAACCACAUCAACUAUAGAUGUACCCCUCGCAUAUUCAACUUUCCAAAAUGUACCCAGGCUGAAUGCCCCUAAUUUAACUUCAGUUUUGGUUGACCAAUUCACUUGCAGCCCUGUUCGAGUAAUUUGUAACCAUGUAGCUUUGCCAUCUUUAAGUCUAUUACCGAAGUUAAAAGCACCAGAAUAUAUUGCAACAAGGAGGAUAAAACCAAAUGACCAAGGCUGACAUUGUCUACAGACAUGUUGUUCUGCCAAAUAAGCCUUUACUCUAGCAGUCGACAAGUUUCUAGCCAUGACUGAACCUCUUCUUUGAGAAGCUUUCCGAAUUGUACACCCAUCAACUGACCAAUAAUGUAUAGACAAAUAAAUUGUGGCUAUCCUUUUAGAGUCAUCAUGCAAGGUUAAUGGCAAAAUAGAGCUCCAAAAUAACAUAAUCUUCUUACUGGACGAUGUUGUUACGUGUAAAGAGAGACUUCUUGUACCACUGUAAACAUGGCUAUAUGUUGGAAUGGUAGCAACUGAACAUAUAGAAUCAAUAUGGACAACAGGAGAAUGCAUAAACCACUGCCAUCCCGUAUCCCACACUCGGUUGAUGUUAUCAGAAGAUCUAUGCAAACAAACCAUGCUAGUCAUAUCUAUCAAAAUUUCUCGAACAUUACUUGUGUGACCAGUUAACUUCAAGGUCUUCAAACUUAUCCCUGGAUCCCAUAUGGGAACAACCAGUCCAUUUCCAACUAAUUCAAGAGAUAACUUGGUCUUAAUUCCUACGAAUACAUGUACUAUGCGGACAUGAUUCCUUUCAGACAUUUCAUCAAACAAGUGGGAAGCAACUCUUAGUUUCAUUUCCUUCAAUUUCUCGUUCAUUACUACAUAUCUAGAGACUCGUCUACUAACCCAAAAAACCUCACCAAUUUGUUGCAAAUUUAACUCAUGAGCGAGAAAGUAGACAGAUGUUUUACCUGCUAUUUCAACCUUCACAGUUGUCAUGAUAAACUUGAUCUUUGCCAUUUUUUGAAUUUGUAAAGGUGCAAUUGAAAUAGCUUCUAUGGUUCGCUUCUCUGCCUCAAUUUUGAUAGAGUCGUUCAACGCAUUGCUCUUCUCCAUCACCUCAUCAAAACAAAAGUAACAAUGGCAAUCAAUGCUGCGUAUGCAACCAUAGAGGCAAGAGUUACAAUCACAAUCAAUGCUGCAUAUGCAAUCCUCGUACUUCUGCAAUUGCUUAACAUUCACAACUAUUCCAGUCACUCCUUCCGUAGCCAAAGUAUUAUAUGACACCGCCAACCUCUUUUUUGAUUCCUGGAACAUCUUCAUCGAAUUACUACCCACAGUCGAGAUAGGUUCGUUGCUCUGAUACCAAUUGUUAUGAUCUCGAAUUCAAAUGGAAAAGAAAAUAAUCAACACAAUAGUUUUUGGGAUUUUCUGAUUUAUAACUGGAAAAUUGAAAACAAGGAUAUCUACUAAAUGGAAUUAAAACUACAUUUAACAGAAACUAACUGAAGAACUCGCCAUAGCCAUAAGGACCUGCAGAUUUAGAUGAGAAAAGAAUUUAGAAGGAGAUUGAAAAGAAGAGAAGAGAAGAGAGUCUGUUAGAAGAGAGAGAGAGGAGCACGAGAAUAAUACCAAUUUGAUCAAAUGCCCCUUUUGCUCUUCCAGGAACUUAGUUAUAGGAUGCUCACGUGCAAUCACAGCCCUUCAACUUCAUUAACUCCAAUUAAAUCUCGUACGUCCAGGUGUUAUAAUUCUAUUCGUCAUUUCUUUUUUCUUCACUUAGCUCAUUUAUUCAGGUCAUGACAGGUGCUAAAGAAUUUUCAGCAUUCGGUUUGAAAUUUGGGGUCCAUUUCAAAAUCUUCAUAUCAACAUCAUCAUUUAAGGCAAUAGAAUCUCUGGAAAAGAUAUCAUUGAAGUCUUCUUCAUUUUCAACAUCAAUAAAAACAUGAUAUCUAUCCUUAGCUCCAAUUUUAGCUUCCCCUUUGGUAGUGAUAACCUUAGUAAAAUCGGAUCUGAUUCUAUCGAUGGCUGGUUUUCCUCUAGAAAACUUACCGAUUAUUGUCCAUCGGCAGGUGUCCGCCAGAAGCUCGUGUUCCUCCUUUGUAAAUACCACGACUGCUUUGCCAUCUAUGAUUUCGUGCGCUCUUGGAGGGAGCAUUAUUUUCAGUUUUGAUCGAUUUCCAAUUCUGUAUCCUAGAGCACCUGCAUACGAGUCCUUUCUAUUGUGAUUGUGGGUUUGGUCUAUUUCCAUGAGCUUGGUUCUGAGAGGUGGAAAGUCCUCUGGUUGAGGCGGUCUAUUCUUGUUCGCCGGGUCUGGUGGGUCUGGAAAUUUGGGGUUGUUGCUUCCUCUGGUGUUACGUGUGUUACCCAUAGGGCUCAUCGGAGCUGGCCGGUGAUAGCCGUAACCAGCUCAAAAGAGCCGUUAGUGAUAGUUUGAACUUAACAGUGGAAAAAGAAAGUUGUACGGAGAGAAAAAUUUCUUUGUGAAAAAUAUAACCUUUUUGAUCGGAAUAAUUGCUUUCUUAAUAGAUGUAUCAAUUCAAAAGUAGACAAGUAAUUAGGGACAGAGGGAGUACAACUCAAUGAUAACCAACAUUGGUUGUGGUGCACUGGUGGGACUAUUUCACUCUUGAUCAGAAGUUUCGGGAUCGAGCAUAUGGAGAAAAUUUUGUUAGGAGUGUCACCCUCGAAAGGACCCUACAAUGCGCAAACGGGUUCGAGAUGAGAAAAUUUUGUUAGAAGUGUCACCUCGAAUGAGUUAUGCAGUGCGCGAUCUAAAUUUAGUCAAGGUUCCAAUGCGGACUCCGAACAUUGAGUGAGUGUAACGAUCCAUUUGAUCGUUUUGAGUACUAGAGCUUUUUAUUUCAUAAAAUACUUUCCGAUAGAUUUUAAAUGGGUAUUUUGGACUAUUCAUAACUAGAAUUAUGAAUUUAGUGGGAUAGUUUUAAUAACUAAUUUAGUUGAUGGUUAAAGAAGAUAACAUUAAAAUUAGUAGUGAUCCAUUUUUAUAAUUCGUUACAUCUAACAAUUAGGUUAGUAAAUAAUCUGUUGAAAUAAAGAAGACAAAUUAGAUGCUUGAGCGUAAAAACAAAUUGAGAAGAGGGCUUAUUUGUGCGGCGACUACAGGGAUCACUCGUAUUGGUAAGUUUCUUUAUUAAUUGUUACCGUGAAGAUUUUUGGAGGAAUAUAUUACUUCUGUAACAGUGAAAUCGUUAAGGGUGUAUUGGGUUGUUACGAUGGUUAAGUGCAUCAAGUCAUUGGCAGUAGGUUUCAAUUCUCGUGUGAAACAAUUUCAGGCAAUCAUUACAAUAAUUAUGUGGUAAUCAUAAAGUAAUUAUUAGGAGAUGUUAAUUGAGUAAUUGAAUUAUAUCAAAGGCAUAGCAAGUGUUGCUCAUAAGUGCUUAUUUCUCAGUGAUUAGUAUCGCUAAUAUAGGUUGGUUGUUCCUGCUAUUAUUGAUGUUGUUAAAAUUGGGUGAAAAUGUUGUGAGGUAUUCACGUGAGUUGGAGUUCUUGGCUAAUACCUCUUAAUGGUCAAUUAAUGAUUUGGACUAAUUCAUUACAGUUAUAUAGUAUAUAGAAGGGAUAAGGGUCUGAAAAAUACUUCAACUUUGGUCGGAUUUGUUGUUGCGAUACUAAACUUUCAUGAGGACUUAUUACCUCCCUAGAUUAUUUAAUACCGUAUUUUUUACCCCCUGAACUAUUUAAUAUAAUUUUAGUAUCUCGUUAUAAAUUAUGUUUUGAUAUAUGGAGAUAGGUAAUUAAAUAUUAGGUGUAUUGUAUUAGUUCAAUACCAUUAAAGUUAUGCUAAUUGGAGGAAGUAAGACUUACCCUUAGGGUUAAACUAUAGGAAAAUUGAUUAUGGAAUCAGGUAAAUUUUUGGGUCUAGACUAGACAUAUAGUAACAUGGGUGUCUAUAAACUCGNNNNNNNNNNNNNNNNNNNNNNNNNNNNNNNNNNNNNNNNNNNNNNNNNNNNNNNNNNNNNNNNNNNNNNNNNNNNNNNNNNNNNNNNNNNNNNNNNNNNNNNNNNNNNNNNNNNNNNNNNNNNNNNNNNNNNNNNNNNNNNNNNNNNNNNNNNNNNNNNNNNNNNNNNNNNNNNNNNNNNNNNNNNNNNNNNNNNNNNNNNNNNNNNNNNNNNNNNNNNNNNNNNNNNNNNNNNNNNNNNNNNNNNNNNNNNNNNNNNNNNNNNNNNNNNNNNNNNNNNNNNNNNNNNNNNNNNNNNNNNNNNNNNNNNNNNNNNNNNNNNNNNNNNNNNNNNNNNNNNNNNNNNNNNNNNNNNNNNNNNNNNNNNNNNNNNNNNNNNNNNNNNNNNNNNNNNNNNNNNNNNNNNNNNNNNNUGUGAUUGAUUGCGUACUUGCUUCCGUUGUCACUUGUUCAUGUUGUUUGUUGCUUGCCACUUUGCUAAGUGUCAUAGUUGAUUUUAUACUAUUAUUCAUUACAUAUUAGUUUCUAUUUUGGGUUGGCCGAUGAUAUCUACUCAGUACAUGUUGCCCUGUACUGAGCCCUACUUGUGUUUUUCUUUGUUUUCUUUUUGUGGAGUGCAGCGAGUGUAUCAGUGACUUCGACUCGUCCUCAGCUCUAGCCAGUCUCCAGCACAUCAGGUUCCAGGGUGAGCUAUUCAUUCCAGCUCAUGUUGGAUUCUCUUGGUCGUGACAUGAUGUCCUUAGUUUUCGGACAUAAACUAUUUUAUUCAUUUAUUUUGGUGUCUUUAAUACUCUUAGACUUAGUAUUUGAAGAUUAGAUGUCCUUGAUGUGAUGCAUUUCAGAUUUUGGGGAUAAUAAGUGUUAGACUUUAGAGGUUUAUUUGAUUGGUUACUUUAAUAAGUUUUGAGCUUCUGCAUUAUUGUUGUUAUUCAUAGUUGAAUUAUUGAUAUAUGUUGGGAUUUGGAUUUCUUGGUUCGCCCACUUAGAAGGUUAAGUGUGGGUGCCACUCACGACUCAUUUUGGGUCGUGACAGUGAGAAACCAAAUAAAACUCAUUAUAUAUAAAAUAAAAUGUUUGAGGUAAGAAAAUUCUAUUCCUAUUGUUGCCUUUUGAAGUUUCAUGUACUGUGUAUUGGGAUUGAAAUAACAUGAAAAAUUCUAAUACUGUAUUUGUUUGAAAAGCCCUUCGUCUACUUUUGGUAAAUUAAAAAUGUUCAUUCCAUCAGUCAACAAGUCACACAUAAACUAAAUACAAUAAAUAACCUACUUGUCCCUAAUAUAUUCCUGCCCAUUCUUUUUUCGUUACAAUUUCUAUUUUUCUAAAAACUCCGUUUUUCAAUUGGGUUGAAUUCUUAUUGUGCAAAAAAAAUCAAAUAUUGCAACAUCUACCAUGGAUAGAUUUUUCAUUAAAUUAUUUGUAGUGUAUGAAAAAAUUAAUAUUUUUAACUAAAGUAUGUCACAAUUUAUUUACUCUUUUUGAUUUUUUAAAAAUAUUUCUACACUACUUCUAUUGUAAAUUAUGCAGGUAAUUUACGGACCAUAAAGCAAUAAACGGUUGUCCGAUUAGUAGGUGAGUUAUUCAUGUACUAAAAUCAGCCUAACUAGUACCACGUUUAGUAGCAUUUCAGUUGUUAUAAAUAAAAGGGAAAAGUAUUAAAAACACCCUAAACUUGGGUACAAAUUAUUAUUUACGUUCCCAAACUAUUGAUAGCCUUAAAAGCACCCCUCUAGUUGACUAACUAAACUUAGAUACACCCCAACCUGCCACAUGACAUAGCAAGUAGUCUCAAACUCUUGUAGGAGCAUAGGGCUUUUAAUAAAAACCGAGAGAAGUGUUGAAAGCACCUAAACUUAGCGAGAAUUUAGGGGUAUAUUUUUCACUUAUGUUGCUAGAUCGGGGGUGUAUUUCAAUUAGUCAUGUAAAGGGGUAUUUUAAAUUUUGUCAAUAAUUCAGGAUGAAACGAAUAAUUAGCACUGAAUUAAAAAAUGUUUUCACUACUUCUUUCUAAAUAAAAUUCAGCAUAACAAGUACAGUAUUCGAUUGCCAGUUUAAACCAAAUAUACGUAUAAGUUAUGAAGAAAACAUAUGUAUAAUUUAUGCAAGGCAGAAGAUGGAAUAACCAAACAUGGCAAAACUAAUACAUGCAUUAACUCCAAGUAGCAACCAAACAACCCCUUAAGUGCACACCCCUUUCGAACAACAUCAAUCCACAACACUUGAAAAUUUAACAAGUUUAACUUGGCACAUCUUGCAAGUAUUUCUAAAUAAAUGAAUUUUUAGCGUGAAGCAACCUCACUACUGCACCUCAACCCAUGUUGAUCUAAAAGUUAGAAAUUUAAAAGGCGCAAAGAAUGGUCAAAAUUGGGCAGGAUACAAUUUAGAAACAAAACCCUACAUCACCAAAUUCAAAAAAAAAAAAAAGUAUUACCGAAAGAAACUGAAAUCUAACCUUAUAGAAGUGACGCAGAAGAAGUGAUGGCGAUUUUGAGAGAAAAAUGCAGAAACGAGAUAGAUGGUAUCUCCUUCCUUCUCUCUUUAAUUUGUUACUACUUGUAGCAUGUAUGAAUUCGCUUAUUUUAAAAGCUCUUAGAUUUAAGCUUAAAACUAAAUAUUUAUACCAAGAAUAAUUAUUAAAAAAUGUAUUGUGAGUAAAAUAACUAUUUAGUUAAUUACUUUUAAAACAAAAUUACAUUUCAAUAAGAGAUCCCUUCCAAUAAUUUUUUUUAAAAAAAGAUAUGAGUUGUCGCAUGAGGAAUAGACACAGACAGAGACAUGAGGGUAAAUGACAUGUCCCAUAUAAUCUCGAAUCCAUACAACCUUAUAAUCUUGAGUCAACAGGUCAAACCCCAACCCGAAUUGAUGAUAAUGAUCUGAGAAAAAGUGCUCGAUCUCAAAAGGCGCAGAAGGCAGAGGCUGAAACUCUCUGGUGGCAGGAUUCCAUAAACGCAAGCGGAGACCGUCAUUAUAAAUUUGUUCCUGCACUAAGAAUAAGCCAGAAACUGGGCCAGCAACACACUUGAUAUCAGAUAAAUUCGGAAGGUGAAGGAGAACUUUUGUUCAGGAGUCACAUCCGGAACUAUUUUUUUCGGGAGCAAGAAGAACACCACAAACUUUACGAAGAUGGGUGGGAUCAUUGUUAUUUUUAAGUCGCAGACAAGGAAAUGGGCACCAUUGUACUUCUGAUGAAAAUGCUUCUCUUUAAAACUCGCACUUUUGAUGAGACCAUACCAGUGCUUGCGCACACAUUUGAAACGCAAAAGUGAUUCCAGUGGCAACCUCGAUAGAAUAUCAACCACCAGAUCUUCUGGAAAAUGACACUGACAAUCCAUACAGAUGGGUGUUUGCUUCCAAAUCUUUUACCUGGACAUAUAAGCAGAUCUCUUGCUUAGAAUAAACAGAAUGAAACAACUUACAAGCAUAAUGAAAGAGAACAAAUCUAGAAAACAUGAAUUAAUAGAACAAAAGUUCAACAAAGAAAUCAAGCAAAAGUGUUACCAUGUUAUCAAACUAAGCAAAAAAGAGUAGAUUACACAUUUGUCCGCUCAGCCAAAAGUAUGUAACAUCCACUAGUCAAUACUGUCAAAUUAGGACUGACACUCCAAAAACUAGCUCAAAGGAUUGCCUAAACCUUAUAAGGAGUCCAGAAAUCUCAUCUCGAUCCGGUGUGAGGUCAUUUUCAUUAGCAAAUACACAUAUAUCACAUGUACGGUAUACAUCUGCCCACGAUUUUUUUUCAAUGGGCAGCUAUUUAUGUUAUUUCUGUAGGAAACUGGAAAGAUGGGAACUCAUAUUAAAGAACUAGUCAUUUAGUUUUCUAUUGUAUUCAUUAGCCAAUCAAUGGUUUUCUUUUUGUUUUUUUUAACUCUCCAUCUCAAUUAAGAUACAACCAUUUUGCAGGUAAUUUAAGCAGCAUGAAACAGUAAAUAACAUACCCUUUUCGAUUAACAUCAAUCCACAACACUUGGAAAUGGAAGAAGCUUAACUUACCACAUCCUGCAGAUAUUUUUAACAAUUGAGAAACGGAAGAUGCUAAGAAUGGUCUAAAUGGAGGUGGAUCCAAUUUAAUUAAGAGCAAAAUCAUUACCAUUAAUAUAUAAGCACAUCUAUGUUGGUCGGACAAUUCAUAAAUAUUGCAGAGAGCGGUUCAGAUCCACCAAAAGUAAUAAUGCAUUUUUGGAGGAUCUGACAUGAGUGCGGCAACAAUUUUGGAGAUUCAGAAUAUAUUUGUGUAACUCUAACCAGCAAAACCCUAAUUUAGGAGUAAAAUCCAACAUCACAAAUAGUAAAAAUUCUAAAAAAAAAAAAAAAAGACUAUUUAGAAAGAAAGUGAAAGCUAAUCUGGAAAAGUUGAUGAAGAAGAGUCGGUGCGAUUGUGAGAAGGAAAAUAUGGAGAAAAGUGCAGAAAUGAGAUGAUCUCUCCUUCCUUCUUUGUCAAUUUAUACAACUCGUAUAAUCACUUUACUUAAUGUUUUUAAUAUAUUUAUAUAAUGUAUAUAUACCUUUCUUAACAUAAUAUACAUAAUACAAUCAUAGGUGGAGAUAGUUAGGGAUUUUAUGAUUUUAUUUCCUUGGAUAGAUUUACUUGUACACCAACAAAUAACUCACUCUUGGAAUAAUACGAUAAGGAGAUUUUCUCCAUUGUCUCUUUAUUUUACAUGGUAUCAAAGUCAGGUACACCCCGGUAUGGGCUCUCCAUCCACGCUGCCAUUGGGUCUGGCAUGAAAGUAGUGUUUAAGUGGGUUAAAGUCCCACAAUGUUGUGGAAUGGACUAACAGUUUGUUUAUAUGGAUUUGCGCAAUCCUUCACUCCUAACCCAACUUUUAAGGUUGUUAGGCUAAGGUGACAUAUCUUUACAUGGUAUCAGAGCGUCGUUCUAAUUACUUUGGCUCAAAAUAUUUGUCGUAAGUUAGAUAUGGUACAAAGGAGGUACCUGGGGAUUCGGAUUUCAAUCUCACAGUCGUUCUAUAGAGGACCGUCUCAUUACGACCUAUAGUACCGGUGGUCGGCAGAUAAGCGUUGAGUCUCACGCAUCAAAGAACUACUUCUGGUAGUUUCUGUGUUGGACGCGUGUAUGGCUUCCGAAUCAAACCAGGUUUCCAGUAACACCAUCGCCUCAAUAUUUUCGAUCAAAACUUGGUGGUCUCAUGUUCAACAGACCUCGGUUGGAAAGGUUUCAAAACACUCCAGGUUUCAUCAACCUGGUUUUCUUUGGGCCAAAUCACUUGAUGUCUUAUAUGUUGAUUUGGGUGUUUGGUUACUUCUGAAUCUCCAUAUUCUUGGUAGAAUUUCACUAUGAGUCUCUAGAUUGUUGAUUGUUUAUUCUUAGUGAAGAAUUAUAUGUUGAUUGGGUCCAGCAAGUUCUAUGAAUUGUUGAGCUUUUGGAGAUCUAUUGAGGUAUUUCUAUUUGGUGCAGUUUUGUUGGUUUCCUAUUAUUGGUAAGGUUAUAGAGAUUUGAUAAGUUCUUAUGUUCCUUGAUGUUUUGAUGAUCUCCUUAUAAGUGCAGGGACCUGGUCCUCUACAGAGUAUGAAUACUCGUCCAGUGGUCAAAGUGAUGUACAGCUGGAAAGCUGUCUGUAUCAGAAGGUUGGUGAAGCUGCAGCGUACUCCACUAAUCAGAAGCGAUGAGGUUGCUUGUUCAUUGGAUAAUAACUUUUCAUGUCUAAAUAUAUCCAAGGAAAAACAACAAACUAAUUCAGUCAUAUUCUCAAGAACUUACCAAGAGAAGUUUGCAAGGGACCUGGUCCUUGCAAGACUGCGAUGUGAAAGGAUGACAAGACAGCUGUUAGAAAAGCUGCCACUUCUGAUGUGGUAGGUGCACAACUUUUCUAAACAGCAGGCUCUCAGCCAAUGGGCGGUCCCAAGGAGUUUGUGUUCAUUUUAAUAUAGUCUCUUCCAACAAAACAAAAACUCAAGAUUUUGGCAAAUAAAAACUCAAAAGCUUAAAAGGAAAAAGCCAUCUUCAAGGUAGAACGAUACUUACACUCAACAAAAGAAUCUGAUAAAGGGCUGAAGCAUCUUUGUUGAGUUUGAGUUUUGUGUCUAUCAUUUUAUAGGUUUUUGCAUCUUGAAAAUUCUCAAGUAUACAAGCANNNNNNNNNNNNNNNNNNNNNNNNNNNNNNNNNNNNNNNNNNNNNNNNNNNNNNNNNNNNNNNNNNNNNNNNNNNNNNNNNNNNNNNNNNNNNNNNNNNNNNNNNNNNNNNNNNNNNNNNNNNNNNNNNNNNNNNNNNNNNNNNNNNNNNNNNNNNNNNNNNNNNNNNNNNNNNNNNNNNNNNNNNNNNNNNNNNNNNNNNUCUUACUCUAAAGUCUAUAUUAAUCGGUUAGGAUUAGUAUAGUGGGCGGUGUUGUAUCCGCUUAGCAAAGUCUAAGUUAUCUAGGGGUGAUAGCUUAGUGGGCAGUGUUGUAUCUGCUUAGGCUCAUCUAAGUAAUAGGAUAUAUUACUUAGUGUGGAGAUUAGUAGGUUAAUCUCAUUUUGUAAACUGGCUUUUACUUUUGCUUUGAGAAGAUUAGUGGAAGCAGUUUGAAAAGUCCUGGCAGGCCAGGUCGUGGUUUUACUCCCUUGAGCAAGGAGGUUUCCACGUAAAGUUGUUGUGCAAUCUUUACUUUCCGCACUUUGUUUAUUUUCUGUUAUUGUAACUGUGCUGAGGACCUGGUCCCAUCUAGACUAGUGGACACAUACAUUCCAACAAGAUCUGUUGGGGUAUUUCUGGUUAGUGUAAUUUGGCUGGUUUCCCCACUCUUGUUAAUUUGUUUGGAAAAUGGCUGAUUGUGAUAAGAGAGCUCAAAGUUCUAAAGUUGUUACAUCUGACACCAUGAUUUGGUUCGGAGAGCAAUUUCCUAAUUUAUCCCAAUAUCAUAAAUUACUUAAAGAAAUCUGAUACAGGUAAGGCUUUUGCUAAGUUGUAUAAAACGUGUUAUGUCACCUCUUCAAAUUUUAAUCUAUUGCAUGCUCCAGUGUUGUGUCAACAUUUGGAGCACAUUGUCAAUUGGGACACCCUUCUCUACCUUAGUUGAAGAAGCUAUGCCCUCAAUUUCAUAAUAUUUCUUCAUUGGAAUGUGAGUCAUGUCGAUUUGCAAAACACUAUCACAUUUCG